GUGACAGUACCUGACAGAGAAUGAUCCAAUCUUAAGUUAGAAGCCAACAAUAAUAUUACCAAACUCCAUUAAAAUUCUAAAUACAAAUCUAUCUGUCUCUCUGUAACAGAGAGAGGAAAAACUUGGUCCACCCGGACCAGAGAGAGGAAAAAUUUGGUCCACCCGAACCACAGAGGGAAAUCUCUCUCUUUGUAACAGAGAUUUCUC
rnacentral:lncRNA from 1 species